UCUCCGUAGCUCUCCCUUCUUUCUCACAACCCAUCUUAGUUUUAGGACAAGGCUUUGAGAUUUAAGAAAAAGCCUUAUUUGGUCCAAAAAGAGAUUGUGAAGGUCCUAAAGAAGGAGAAUCAAAAGUUUAGAGGAGAUUCUGAGAGGGUCAAGUCAGAUUCUUGGAGAAACCUGACUGAUACAGGGCUAGUCGAGUUUUAGGGGCUAGAACUCUUGAAGCAAGGUGAAGAAAGAGCGCUGUCUUUGGUCUAAUUUUUGUAUGGAUCAUCGUUGG
rnacentral:lncRNA from 1 species